GUGCUCGCUUUGGCAGCACAUAUGCUAAAAUUGAAACAAUACAGAGAAAAUUAGCAUGGCACCUGCACAAGGAUGACAUGCAAAUUUGUGAAGGAAAAAUAGCUGAC